GACGAACGCUGGCGGCGUGCUUAACGCAUGCAAGUCGAGCGGUAAGGCCUUUCGGGGUACACGAGCGGCGAACGGGUGAGUAACACGUGGGUGAUCUGCCCUGCACUUCGGGAUAAGCCUGGGAAACUGGGUCUAAUACCGGAUAUGACCUCCUAUCGCAUGGUGGGUGGUGGAAAGAUUUAUCGGUGCAGGAUGGGCCCGCGGCCUAUCAGCUUGUUGGUGGGGUAAUGGCCUACCAAGGCGACGACGGGUAGCCGACCUGAGAGGGUGACCGGCCACACUGGGACUGAGACACGGCCCAGACUCCUACGGGAGGCAGCAGUGGGGAAUAUUGCACAAUGGGCGAAAGCCUGAUGCAGCGACGCCGCGUGAGGGAUGACGGCCUUCGGGUUGUAAACCUCUUUCAGCAGGGACGAAGCGCAAGUGACGGUACCUGCAGAAGAAGCACCGGCUAACUACGUG
rnacentral:rRNA from 1 species